CCACAGGGCGUUCAUUUUGGGUUGGAGAGUGAAGACAAGGAGAAGAAGGAGGAGGAAGAGGAGAGGGUAUGGCUUUGGGAUCCAGGAGAAGAAGGGAAAGCAGAAACCAGGAGAGACACAGUGAUACUACACUUGUGUGUGGGCAGUUCUUGGGCUCCGAAUCUCUCUCCACUGACCAAAAGGCUUCUGGAAGCUAUAGAAAUGCCCCCGUCCCCGUGUGCCCUGUUCUCACAUUUCUGGAGGGUCAACACUCCGGCCCUGAUGACACAGUAGAGGGAACCCUAGGAACACACUCUUCUGAUUUAGUUUGGCCCAGACCAGUACUAUCCAUAUUCAUUCAUCUUCAGACAGAUUGAUCACUACUAGGAAACCAGACGCUCUUUUACAGGCCCACCCCACCUCUCUACCUUGCAGCGGAGUAGGGUCAAGCCACAGGCCACAACAUGAAAUCAGAUCUCCUUUGCUGCAUGCACACCCCAGCUCAGCAGAUGAGAAAAGGAGGAACUGGGACAGGGUACCCAGGGAUGCCCAGUGAGAACAUGUCUCAAACUGGGCAGUCAGAGGCAUGGCUGUUGGCGUUCUAACCAAUGGAUCAGGCCCAAGGCUCUGUCCCCAGGGAGGUCUGGCUUGAAGCGGGUAGUAAGAGCUGUGUGAAGGAAGAAAGAGGAAGCGCCCCUUGCCCUGACCAUUCAGGACCCAGGGUGUUGGAUUAAAGCAGGAUCAAAUCAGAUGUUGGUCAGAGCCCGCAGUAGGCACAAGAUGGUGACACUUUUGGAUUUCUUGAAGGUGCAUCAUAAUCAGGAAGGCAGCUGGACCCUUGUCGCCCACAUGAAGAGACCCCAGAAGGGCUGUGGGAGGACUGUUCUCUGUCCAUGACCCUCCAGCAGGCUCCAGAGGCAAGAAAGUGUGUCACCCAGCCCUUCGGCCUUCUCCCUCUAGUCCUGACCCUGGGCCUGCAUUCUCCACCUUCCUUGAUGGAUGGGUGACAUGUGGCUCAGGGUUUCAUGGAAAAUUCUUCAAGGCCUUAAUUUAUCUGAUAUGACAGUUCAGGGUCUUAGAAUCCGAGAAGGCAGCUUUAAGAGCCAGAGGGGAGACAAGUCUCAACUCUACACUUGGUUACUCCGGGAAGGCCCCAGAACCUGGGGCUCUGGGUCAGGGGUGGGGAUGACCAGGAGAGCCAUCCACGCAGGCAAGAAAAGGAGGCAUGAGGCAGCCAAGAAACUGGUGAUGUUCAAGUAGGCCACCAGGGGGCAGCAUGAAGCCAAGGACAGGCCUCCUGGACUCUGCUCUGGCUAGGGGCUGGAAGACCCUGAGCACCCGGCUUCCUUGGGGGUGCUCGGAGUCCCCGUAGCUGACCAGCCAUGCAGGUUGUUGUGAGUGCGAUCCCGGGACGUUCCAGGAAACUGAACUGACUUAGCUGCUCCAGACUCCUCUAAGAAUUAAAAGGCAGGAGGGCUGGGGCCAGUAGGCUUCCUGUGUUACAAUUCACUAAUCAAAUCUCGGAGUUGGUUGGAAGAGCUGGAGGGUGUAGGUUAAGCUGGCCUUAAUCACCUAGGAGCCACAGCAAGGUUUUAAUAUAGGCAGCCCAUUUCCUCCUCGAAACAGACUGCUGAAGUGUCCACCUGCCUACUGUUGUGUUCUAGCUUCAGUCAGUAGCCGCACCAUGGAGUCAUCGGCUAACUUUUAGCGAUUUAGAAAGCAAAAUUUAUUUAUCUAUCUAUUCAUUCAUUUGUUUAUUUUCGGUCCUGGGGAUGGAACUCAGAGCCAGCGUUCAUACUUGAGAAGUAUCUCAAGUGCCAUACCACUGAGUCACCUCCAGCUUUCAAAUUUUAUCUCGUAGUCCAAUCACUGGCAGCGUGGCUGUGCCCGAGUCUUGCCACAGCCCUCAUUCUGUUCCUCAUUCGGCCAGUCAGGUAGGCACACAGAAAAACAGCUCCUAUGGCUGUAACGUAAUUGGGUGCACACAGAAAUAUCGCCAACACUUGGUGGCAGAAAUGGUCUUUGGAUGUGUGGUCUUUCUGGGAGCUCUGCUCCCAGAGCAAGAGGUGAAGUACUCAUUCUGCCCAAGGGUAUGGGUGAAGAUUUCAGGAGAGACUCAUUUGCUAACCAGGUCCAAGGUCGAGGUCCCACCGCUUAUACCCCUUCACACCACACAAGAAAGAAGUCAGGAAACUUUCGUCUCAUGAGCCAGGGCACCAGACCAGCACUCCAUCCCCCAACUCUCUGUAGCAACACAGUUAAAAAAAAAAAAAAGUUCUUGUUUCCUUUGGAUGUAUUUUUAAUGUCAAAAAUAGAAGACGAUACUUGUAGCCAGACAAAUGUUUACUUACCUACAGGUCCCUUGGGUUGGAGGGCUAGAUGGGGAACUUAACCCUGCUCCUGGAAGCAGUGUGCCUACCAGGUCUGUUGAUGCUAGCUAGCAUUGAUGGAAUUUCACCGUUACAGACUUGUGGAGGGCUCACUUUCACCUGUGUGGAGACGGACAAACAAUCAGAUGAAAUGGGAAUA